AUUGAACGCUGGCGGCAUGCUUUACACAUGCAAGUCGAACGGCAGCGCGGGCUUCGGCCUGGCGGCGAGUGGCGAACGGGUGAGUAAUACAUCGGAACGUGCCCAGUAGUGGGGGAUAGCUCGGCGAAAGCCGGAUUAAUACCGCAUACGACCUGAGGGUGAAAGCGGGGGAUCUUCGGACCUCGCGCUAUUGGAGCGGCCGAUGGCAGAUUAGCUAGUUGGUGUGGUAAAGGCCUACCAAGGCGACGAUCUGUAGCUGGUCUGAGAGGACGACCAGCCACACUGGGACUGAGACACGGCCCAGACUCCUACGGGAGGCAGCAGUGGGGAAUUUUGGACAAUGGGCGAAAGCCUGAUCCAGCAAUGCCGCGUGUGUGAUGAAGGCCUUCGGGUUGUAAAGCACUUUUGGCGGGAACGAAAAGGACUGUGCCAAUACCACGGUUCGAUGACGGUACCCGCAGAAUAAGCACCGGCUAACUACGUG
rnacentral:rRNA from 1 species